rnacentral:rRNA from 1 species
UGUAUAUUGACUGUACAAAGGUAGCAUAAUCAUUAGUCUUUUAAUUGAAGACUUGUAUGAAGGAUUUGAUGAAAUAUAAACUGUCUCUUUAUUAAAAAUAGAAUUUAAUUUUUUAGUUAAAAAGCUAAAAUAAAUUUAAAAGACGAGAAGACCCUAUAGAGUUUUAUAAAUUGAAUUAAAAAUAUUUAUAUAAAAUUUUAAUAUUUUUAAUUCAAAUAUUGUGUUGGGGUGAUAGAAAAAUUAAAUAAACUUUUUUUAAAUAUGAAAAAUAAUUGAAUUAUUGAUCCAUAAUAGAUUAAAAGAAAAAAUUACCUUAGGGAUAACAGCGUAAUAUAUUUUUUUUUAGUACAAAUAAAAAAAAAAGUUUGCGACCUCGAUGUUGGAUUAAGAUAAAAAUUAAAUGCAAAAGUUUAAAAUUUUGAUCUGUUCGAUCAUUAAAAU